UUACCAGACUCCUACGGGAGGCAGCAGUGGGGGAUAUUGCACAAUGGGGGAAACCCUGAUGCAGCGACGCCGCGUGGGUGAAGAAGCGCCUCGGCGCGUAAAGCCCUGUCAGCAGGGAAGAAAAUGACGGUACCUGAAGAAGAAGCCCCGGCUAACUACGUGCCAGCAGCCGCGGUAAUACGUAGGGGGCAAGCGUUAUCCGGAUUUACUGGGUGUAAAGGGGGCGCAGACGGCGCGUUAAGCCUGGUGUGAAAGCCCGCGGCCCAACCGCGGGACUGCAUUGGGAACUGGCGCGCUGGAGUGCCGGAGGGGUAGGCGGAAUUCCUAGUGUAGCGGUGAAAUGCGUAGAUAUUAGGAGGAACACCAGUGGCGAAGGCGGCCUGCUGGACUGCAACUGACGUUGAGGCUCGAAGGCGUGGGGAGCAAACAGGAUUAGAUACCCUGGUAAUG
rnacentral:rRNA from 1 species